GAAGGAGAAAGAGUCAGUGCUGUGAGGAGCUGCCCAUGAGAAACACCAAGAAGGUGUGGAACUGUUGUGGGAAUGUGGGCUGGGACAAUCUCAUAGAGAAUUUGACUGUGACUUAUGAGAAAUGCCUUCUUCAAACACCAAGGUUUGCUGGAAACAUCCAAAUACAUGCCUGGCUGAGGAGACAGGAAAGAAACAGCAUCACCUUCAGAGCCAGGGGCUGCCAUCAGCAGAACUGGGCAGAGGUGAGGAGCCAGCAUCACUGGGAAUCUCUCAGGUGUGAGCCAAGGAGCAUCAGACAAAGGCCUGGAAAGAAAGGCAAAACUGAGCCCCAGAGAUCCAGCUGAAAAAUCUCCUUGCAUAUGGACAAAUGAUGGCCAUGAGCAUGAAGGAACCUGGCAGUGAAAGAUACACUAUUUAAAUUGUUCCACCUGAAAAUGGAGAUCAGGAACAAAGCAGGUGAAUAGAGCCUGUUUCACAGAUUCCAGAAGACAGAAAUCUCAAUUAUUCUAAGUCAAUAAACAUGAAAUUAUUUCCUACAUGGUUCUAAAUUCUGACAUGAAGAAUUAAAACCACCAGCUAUUAGACUGGCUUGAUAUUCCCAGUAUUUCAAAAAAUUGAAUAAUUGAUUGUUUCUUCCUUUCUGAAGUUAGGAGCUUUUUUUUUAUGCUACCUCUAGAAGCUCUGUUUGUGUCUGCUUUAGUAAUAUUAAUA